UUCACCAGUCCCCCUAACUCUAUCCGGUACAUGGUGGCUUGAAGUCACUCCCAGGAGAAGCAGAAAAUACUUCUAUACCCCUUAGUUUUGAACUUAGCCAUGCUUUGGUCACUAUGAUGUUUAAUGGGCUUAACCCAAAUGGAAGUUUAAUGUGUUUGAAGAGUUAAGCUCACCUACUACAAAGAACUUCUCCUGUGGAUCUUCUGUCCCUUCACCCCAGGUCCCAGAAGAACCUCUACGUGCCAACCUCCAGUCAACCUGAAGACCCAGGAGCACGGGAAUAAAUCCUGGACUUCUAGUGGAAGAGAUCAUCCACUCUUCUUGCUAUCAUUGUCACAUCUAAGGGAAAAGACCACUAAAUCUGCCUCUACCCUGACCUCUUUUCUGAGCUCCAGAUUCCCUAUGGCGUCUACAGAUCUGGAGUGACAGCUUUUCUGGGAAGAAGACAGCCAGAGGUAAAGUGACACAAAGUGAUACUAUCACUGCACCAUGACACGGGAGCAGCUCUGAAAUGGAGACAGUGAUUUCCGGAGCAACAUUAUGCAGCCAACAGGAUCAAUCAGAAGAAGUGUGUUUUUACUUGGGAAAAACAGCAUUAUACCACCAGUGACUUUCUGCAGGGAUAUGUCAACUUUCUGGCUCUCCCAGAGAAACUGAAUUCUUUCUACUUAAGACCUCUAAACUAGGAUCAUACAAACUGCAUCUGGAGCCAGAAGUUAAGCACAUGGGCUGUUCACUUCAUCAAGACUGGAGGACCAGACGUAUAGGAGCCAGUUUUUGAAUGCCAAGCCAGAGACAAUAUUGGACAGGAAGGCAGGUGUUUUUCUGUGAGUCAAGUUGGUGAUAAGGAAGGACAAAAAUGAGGAAUAAAUGAUGAAGAUCGCUCGCUCCGGUGGAGGCCAGAAGCUGUGUUGUGAGGACACUCAGGUGGCCACUGGGGAGAUGGGGUGACGAGGAAGAGGGGCCUCCAGCCCACAUUCAGAUCCGUGAGACUUGAGGUGCCUGCAGCCCCAACCAGCUGCUUGACUGUAACCUGUGAAAGACCCUGAUUCAGAACCAUCCAGCUAAGCUAGCUCUGAAUUCUUCAUCGUCAGAAACUGGGGGGGAUAAAUGUUUAUUGUUUUAAGCUGCUGAA